CAAUACUUUAUAGGGUUAUAGUAAGGUUUUUAGCAUAGUGCCUGAAACAUGGUAAGCAAUAUCUCUAAGACUGCUUUAGAAUAGGAGAAAGAGCAGCAACUCUGUUGAAACUGGAAAAAGUCCUUCAAGGGAUUACUGGGCUAUUCAUGUUUGCAAAUCAAAAGAAUUCCUUUUCAGUCCAUGCAAAGUUAAAGAUGCACAAUAAAGAAUACUCCAAAAGGUCCUAUUUACUUGAAUGACAUGUAAAACUGGUGGAG
rnacentral:lncRNA from 1 species